UUACGCUCAAAUCAAGAUGAACACUCCGGUUGUCGUUCGAUCGUCGAAGUUAAGCAUCGUCGGGCUAGGCCAGUACUUAGAUGGGGUCCACUUGGGAACACUUGGUACUGUAAG